rnacentral:rRNA from 1 species
UCCUACGGGAGGCAGCAGUGGGGAAUUUUGGACAAUGGGCGAAAGCCUGAUCCAGCAAUGCCGCGUGUGUGAAGAAGGCCUUCGGGUUGUAAAGCACUUUUGUCAGGGAAGAAAUCCUUUGGGCUAAUACCCUGGGGGGAUGACGGUACCUGAAGAAUAAGCACCGGCUAACUACGUGCCAGCAGCCGCGGUA